rnacentral:rRNA from 1 species
CUCGUAGGCGGUUCGUCGCGUCCGGUGUGAAAGUCCAUCGCUUAACGGUGGAUCUGCGCCGGGUACGGGCGGGCUGGAGUGCGGUAGGGGAGACUGGAAUUCCCGGUGUAACGGUGGAAUGUGUAGAUAUCGGGAAGAACACCAAUGGCGAAGGCAGGUCUCUGGGCCGUUACUGACGCUGAGGCACGAAAGCGUGGGUAGCAAACA